GUCGAGCGGUAGAGAGAAGCUUGCUUCUCUUGAGAGCGGCGGACGGGUGAGUAAUGCCUAGGAAUCUGCCUGGUAGUGGGGGAUAACGUUCGGAAACGGACGCUAAUACCGCAUACGUCCUACGGGAGAAAGCAGGGGACCUUCGGGCCUUGCGCUAUCAGAUGAGCCUAGGUCGGAUUAGCUAGUUGGUGGGGUAAUGGCUCACCAAGGCGACGAUCCGUAACUGGUCUGAGAGGAUGAUCAGUCACACUGGAACUGAGACACGGUCCAGACUCCUACGGGAGGCAGCAGUGGGGAAUAUUGGACAAUGGGCGAAAGCCUGAUCCAGCCAUGCCGCGUGUGUGAAGAAGGUCUUCGGAUUGUAAAGCACUUUAAGUUGGGAGGAAGGGUUGUAGAUUAAUACUCUGCAAUUUUGACGUUACCGACAGAAUAAGCACCGGCUAACUCUGUGCCAGCAGCCGCGGUAAUACAGAGGGUGCAAGCGUUAAUCGGAAUUACUGGGCGUAAAGCGCGCGUAGGUGGUUUGUUAAGUUGGAUGUGAAAUCCCCGGGCUCAACCUGGGAACUGCAUUCAAAACUGACUGACUAGAGUAUGGUAGAGGGUGGUGGAAUUUCCUGUGUAGCGGUGAAAUGCGUAGAUAUAGGAAGGAACACCAGUGGCGAAGGCGACCACCUGGACUAAUACUGACACUGAGGUGCGAAAGCGUGGGGAGCAAACAGGAUUAGAUACCCUGGUAGUCCACGCCGUAA
rnacentral:rRNA from 1 species